rnacentral:rRNA from 1 species
UACGUAGGGUGCGAGCGUUAAUCGGAAUAACUGGGCGUAAAGGGUGAGUAGGCGGUGAAGCGAGCUUGAUGUGAAAUGCCUGGGCUUAACCUGGGACUGGCAUUGAGGACAGUUUGACUAGAGUUUGUCAGAGGGGGGUAGAAUUCCACGUGUAGCAGUGAAAUGCGUAGAGAUGUGGAGGAAUACCGAUGGCGAAGGCAGCCCCCUGGGAUGAGACUGACGCUGAGUCACGAAGGCGUGGGGAGCAAACAGGAUUAGAUACCCUGGUAGUCCACGCGGUAAACGAUGUCAACUAGCUGUUGGGGGUUUGAAUCCUUGGUAGCGAAGCUAACGCGGGAAGUUGACCGCCUGGGGAGUACGGCCGCAAGGUUA